UUAAAUCCAGCCAAUUGCAUUCUCUCAUUGUGGAAGACACGCCCUUUGGCAUGUUUCUCCAGACACUGUGUCUGGCGAUGGAGAAGACUGAGUGGAUGUCCCUGCUGAGUACCCUGCUGUGCCUCUCGUGGCUCAUCUUGAGGGAGGGGCCAGAAAGAUGUGAACCCAUCAUAAAUAGGACCUUUUGAAGAUGUUAUUUUUAGUUAAGAUGUGACCCAAUUGAAUGAGUUUGGGCCUUAAUCUCAUUACUGGAAGCUUCAUGAAGAGAAAGGAGUAGAAACUGGAAGUCAAGGGAACCCAGAAGAGAAAGAAGAAGCUGCUGCCAUGUAACGGAAAAGCCGGGGACCCAAGGAUCACCAGAGGCCAGUUUAAGAACACCACAGUCUUCAGGGAGAAAGCAUCACCUUGCUGAAGCCUCAGUUUUGGACUUCUAUCCUAAAACCAUGAGCCAAUAAAUUUCCAUUGUUUAAGCCAACCUAUUGUAUGGUAUUUUAGCAGCUGGGAAACUAAGACAAGUCUAUUGCUUAUAGGUCAUCUUUAGCUUGACCUUUAGCUUGUCAAUCAGUAUAAAAGUUUACAUUUGCAUAAAUUCUUUGGAAUCCUUUCACCAAAGGGCAUUUUCAGGCCUUUCAAAAUAAAUCCUAAACAACAUAUUUGCAAAUCUGGUCCAGAUUGUUUUCUUCCCCACUCAGUUAAUGACAUAACCAUAUAUCCAAUUGCUUAAACUAGAAAUAUCAGAAUAAUUCUCACCUUUGUAUAUUUCUUUCUCCCCACUAAUG